CUUACUCUGCUCAGUUCGUGUUUGGAAAGCUCCAGGGACACAAAGUCUUGUAAUAGAAAGAUGGUGGGAAAUAUGAAGGAGAGCUCUUUUAUGGAAUGAGAGAAGGGGCAGUGGAGAAAUGACGUAUUCGAUGAACGGGGUGCUAUAGUUAAUUGUUCUGGUGACAUCUGUGAUGGACUGUGGAUCAAUGGCUACCCUGCUGCUGUAAUUAGUCGUGGUCUGGAGAUCUGGGCUGGCAUCAGAAACCACCAAAUCCCAUCAAGGUCUGCUGCCAACUCAUUUGAGUUAAUUAAGAAACUGAGAGGAAAACAGUUAACUCCUGUCAAUUCUGGAUUUGCACUGGAUGAUUUACCAGUCCUUAAGGGAGAUAGAGCCAGAAUCUGGAUCUGACACCCUAUGUGGAGCAGGAGAUGCUUCGAGCAGCCAGCAUGAAAGGAGGCAAAAAGCCAAGUGGCAGGAUAUCUGCUGAGAAAGCUGAGAAGAUGACAGUCUCACAGGAGAAAAUGGAAGA